rnacentral:rRNA from 1 species
GACGAACGCUGGCGGCGUGCUUAACACAUGCAAGUCGAACGGAAAGGCCCUGCUUUUGUGGGGUGCUCGAGUGGCGAACGGGUGAGUAACCCGUGAGUAACCUUCCCUUUACUUUGUGAUAACUUCAGGAAACUGGUGCUAAUACCGGAUAGGAGCUCCUGCUGCAUGGUGGGGGUUGGACAGUUUCGGCGGUUGGGGAUGUACUCGCGGCUUAUCAGCUUGUUGGUGGGGUAGUGGCUUACCAAGGCUUUGACGGGUAGCCGUCCUGAGAGGGUGACCGGCCACAUGGGGACUGAGAUACGGACCAGACGCGUACGGGAGGCAGCAGUGGGGAAUAUUGCACAAUGGGCGGAAGCGUGAUGCAGAAACGCCGCGAGCGGGAUGAAGGCCUUCGGGUUGUAAACCGCUUUCGCCUGUGACGAAGCGUGAGUGACGGUAAUGGGUAAAGAAGCACCGGCUAACUACGUG